rnacentral:rRNA from 1 species
CCUACGGGAGGCAGCAGUGAGGAAUAUUGGUCAAUGGUCGGGAGACUGAACCAGCCAAGCCGCGUGAGGGAGGAAGGUACAGAGUAUCGUAAACCUCUUUUGUCAGGGAACAAAGGCGGGGACGUGUCCCCGGAUGAGUGUACCUGAAGAAAAAGCAUCGGCUAACUCCGUGCCAGCAGCCGCGGUAAUACGGAGGAUGCGAGCGUUAUCCGGAUUUCUUGGGUUUAAAGGGUGCGCAGGCGGUCAGUUAAGUCAGCGGUAAAAGCCCGGGGCUCAACCCCGUCCCGCCGUUGAAACUGGCAGUCUCGAGUUGGAGAGAAGUAUGCGGAAUGCGCGGUGUAGCGGUGAAAUGCAUAGAUAUCGCGCAGAACCCCGAUUGCGAAGGCAGCAUGCCGGCUCCACACUGACGCUGAGGCACGAAAGCGUGGGUAUCGAACAGGAUUAGAUACCCUUGUAGUC